rnacentral:rRNA from 1 species
UACGGAGGGUGCAAGCGUUGUCCGGAUUUAUUGGGUUUAAAGGGCGCGUAGGCGGCCUUGCAAGUGGCGGGUGAAAUCCCUCGGCUUAACCGAGGAACUGCCUGCCAGACUGCAAGGCUCGAGACCGGGAGAGGUGAGUGGAAUUCCCAGUGUAGCGGUGAAAUGCGUAGAUAUUGGGAGGAACACCAGUGGCGAAGGCGGCUCACUGGACCGGAACUGACGCUGAGGCGCGAAAGCGUGGGGAGCAAACAGG